AGUCUUUUACGCUCAUCUUCUUAUUCACACUCCAGUGGUUGAAUUGGCAUCUCCAAGGUGCGAUGAGUGUUAUGAACGAGGGUAGCUAACUCUGUGAAAGAAAUGGCCAAGUGGACAGUCUAAGUAAGGCACAGAGGACCACGAACCCAUGCAAAAUAAAUCCCCUAGCUCGGGUACAUUGGCAUCUCAGGAAUCACACACUAACAGCCAAUUGCUCAGUUCAGAACAAACAUUAAACCGCCUUCUAGAUGCUGGUGUGUGCUGGAGGAUAAAGUUCAAAGGAUAGACUUUGAUCAUUAUGACACAUUUGCACAGAGACUCUUCCAGAAAGUAAACACUCCCAAGUUUAACUUGGCCCCUUCACUGACCAUCAGCUUUAACCAUGUCUCUAGGCCAUUUGCAUGGUGCUCCUCAUGCAAAGACCCUUAUUAGAAAAUGAGGCAUCACUUCAAGAAUCGAUCCAGUUUCCUUCUCUGCCUGUAGCUUAUAGCUUUAGACUUCAGCCCACAAACUCUGUUCUCCACCCACAUGUCACAUCCCCCCAUCACAGUGAAAUAGAAUCUCUGAGUGCAUGAAUGUCAAAACAAUGUGCUAAUGUGGAAUCCAGCCACCCAAGUUUGCUCUGAGCACUGCUAUUGCGAAAUCCAAUCUAUUUUAUCACUCUGUCUUCGUGCUGGAUUUAGCAGCUUCAUAAUUCCACACCUCUGUCAACGAGACCCUCAUUAUGCAGGCUUCUAAACAUUUUACUUGGGGAAAGAAUAAACAACAUAUUUAGUACUAAUGAGGUGAGAUAUUGCUUUUUUAUUUGCAUUACUGUUUAAUGAUUGUGAUAUCUCCAGCACUUUGAGCUCUGGGAGCUUGUUUUGAUUGAUGCGAUUUUUCAGCGAGCAGCUCUUGCAGACAACCAGCUACUUGCACGGCACAGUUUGUCACAUGUUCUGGGUGUGUGGCCUCAGGAUUGCAGUAAAAUGGAGCACCCGUCUUCCACUCACUAUGGUUGCUAUACAGAUACCUUUUCUGCAUCUACACGUGGAGUCUGAAGACCUGGAUCAGAUGCUGGUUCUAUCACUCACCAGUCUAUGAAAGAGAGUUCUGUCCUACUGACGCCAAAGAAGUGAGGUCUAUUGGAGGCCGCUUAGCAAGUCCUAAGAUACCUUCUGCAUCCUGGGUACUGUAUUCACUCGUGGAGAUGGAAAAAAUAAGAUACUGUUUAAUGAAAACUUCCAUUUAAAUGUAUUUCUGGUUUUACUUAAUUAGUGCGUGUAAAUCUAAGGAGUACUCAGCUCGUUUUUUCUUUCCGAAACACCUGCACUGAGAUGUCAAUGUCAACAUCCCAAGACCAAGCUCCUCCAGAGCAGACCACACUCUGUGGAUCUGUGGAUCUCUUCAGUUAGAGCAUUUACCCAGAACACCUCUGUGGCCCAUGGGGUGCUGCAAUAGAGAAAAGCGGAUGGUAGGACUUGAGUUAAAGGGAGGUUUCACAAUGGAUGAGUGGAGUUUCAGGAGUGUUUUAAAUUCUACAUGGAUAAGACUUUUGAGUUUGACUUCCCUAGACCAUCAGAAUCCCUUCAGGAAAAAAAGAAAAAAUCAACAGCCCAUGAGUGCCUAAAGGAAAUAAUACCCAUUUUCAUUUACUGCCUAGAAUCAUUCUAUUUCUCUUUAUUUGUGAAAAGCAUCUUUGCUGUGUAAUAUCAUGAAACAAAAUAGACUCAUCAACAUAGCUGGCAUAAAACUAAAAGAUGAUUAUCAUUUUUUUCUACUUGCUCAAUCCUUCUCCAUCUUAUCCUGUCUUUGAAUUUGUCUGCAAACACGUGAAUCACAGUAACGUCUCAUGAAGCAUAGUCCAAUUUCAUUUUAAAAUUAGCAUUGGAAACCAUUAUUCUGGAGUACAACAAAAAGUUCUUACCAAAAAAAAAAAAAAAAAGUUCUUGAUUUGGGGCUGGUUUAGAGCAAUCCUCAAGUAGAGGUGAGGUACUUUCUCUGAUUUGAGUGGUAUAUUUAUUUAUUCCCAUGUGUUCGGUGAAUUCCUUCUGUGUUCUAGGCACUGUGCUAGGCCCUGGGGCACAGACGUGACAUGAGUCGGGCACGAUGCUGUAUUUGCACACAGCUGGCCCGGUGAGCCUGCCACUGGGGUGGGGGGACACUGUCAGAACCUCGACACGUGGCGGUGAAGGGGAAGCAGAAAGUGGAAGCGUGAAGAUUUGAGAGCAGAUUCAGGAAGGCAUGUCAUAGGAAGAGUGACAGAGAGAAGAAACAGCAGAGGUUUGAGGCCUCCCAAAACUCUCACUGAAAGAGAAUUUCAGAUGUCACCGGCUUUCCAUAAAUAACUGUUUAUAGGUGAGUUUUAAAUUUUUAUAGCUCCAAGGAAAUGCCAAGUUUAAUGUUUCACAUUAUAGAAUACACAGUGAAUUGCUGCAUUAAAAUAAGGAUUGGCUAGAGAUUUGAAGUUGUGAGAGUCUGUUUUUAUGUCUUUAUAAUGUUUUGGUAUACAGUGAUCACGCUCUGCAGUGAAAAUAGGGCAAAACAAACCUUUCAUAAAGGGAGAAUUAAAUAAAAAUUUUGGUACUCAGAACUAUAAUUACA
rnacentral:lncRNA from 12 species